AUAACGACUCUCGGCAACGGAUAUCUCGGCUCUCGCAUCGAUGAAGAACGUAGCGAAAUGCGAUACUUGGUGUGAAUUGCAGAAUCCCGUGAACCAUCGAGUCUUUGAACGCAAGUUGCGCCCGAAGCCAUCUGGCCGAGGGCACGUCUGCCUGGGCGUCACG
rnacentral:rRNA from 1 species